rnacentral:rRNA from 1 species
UACCAGCACCCCGAGUGGUCGGGACGAUUAUUGGGCCUAAAGCAUCCGUAGCCGGUUCUACAAGUCUUCCGUUAAAUCCACCUGCUUAACAGAUGGGCUGCGGAGGAUACUAUAGAGCUAGGAGGCGGGAGAGGCAAGCGGUACUUAGUGGGUAGGGGUAAAAUCCGUUGAUCCAUUGAAGACCACCAGUGGCGAAGGCGGCUUGCCAGAACGCGCUCGACGGUGAGGGAUGAAAGCUUGGGGAGCAAACCGG